UAUUAACUCUGGCGGCGUGCCUAAUACAUGCAAGUCGAGCGAACAGAUAAGGAUCUUGCUCCUUUGACGUUAGCGGCGGACGGGUGAGUAACACGUGGGUAACCUACCUAUAAGACUGGAAUAACUCCGGGAAACCGGGUCUAAUGCCGGAUAACAUUUAGAACCGCAUGGUUCUAAAGUGAAAGAUGGUUUUGCUAUCACUUAUAGAUGGACCCGCGCCGUAUUAGCUAGUUGGUAAGGUAACGGCUUACCAAGGCAACGAUACGUAGCCGACCUGAGAGGGUGAUCGGCCACACUGGAACUGAGACACGGUCCAGACUCCUACGGGAGGCAGCAGUAGGGAAUAUUCCGCAAUGGGCGAAAGCCUGACGGAGCAACGCCGCGUGAGUGAUGAAGGUCUUCGGAUCGUAAAACUCUGUUAUUAGGGAAGAACAAAUGUGUAAGUAACUGUGCACGUCUUGACGGUACCUAAUCAGAAAGCCACGGCUAACUACGUG
rnacentral:rRNA from 1 species